CCAGGCUAGAGGAGGGUAGGAAGGAAAGCAGGAAAAUCCCAGCUCAUUCUGCCUGUCCUUGCUGCAGAAACCCCCUGGUUCUUUUUAUGCAGGAUAACCCUCAAGGACUGAGGCUGGGACUGAAAAAACAGCUGCAUUGUGCUGCAGCCACAGCUGUAAUCUCUGGGACUCCAGCACAGACCAAACAGGAUUAUGCAGAAGGCCAGGAUAAUAUUUAGUGUGAAUUAAAGGCACGUUUCUUUCAGGAUGAUUCCCAAAGUCUGUAAUACUCAGACAUCUCCCUGAAUCUGGAGUAAUGACAAUUUGAAGUGGUAGAGAAGAUGGUGCCCAAAUCCAGAGGAAUGCUGAGAACUCCUCCAGCCUCUAAAGCAGUUUGGGCUCAAAGUGGCUGUGAUUCAGCAUCCCACCAAAGCUCUGCUGGAACCACGAGUUUGUAUUGAGAAAAAAGACCAGGCUGGGCAGAGCUGGAAGGGAAGUUGAGAAGAUGCUCUGGGGAGUCUCCAGCAGUUUGAACCCGGAGGGCAGCGAGGUGCAGGAGGGAGAUUUUGGUGCUCACCUUAAGUCAGAGUGGGUGCCCCUGUGUCCCGAGUGUCUCUUUGUGGCUCUGGGUGGCACAGGACCUGAUCCGAGGAAGAGAGAGCCACUUUCUCACCGAGAGGAAAAGAAAAGCAACACGUCAUGAGUUAAGUACGCCUCCAAGAUGUCUUAAUUACAGCCCAACGUGCUUCCAUUCAGACCCCAGG